rnacentral:tRNA from 1 species
GCAACUGAGGGUUCAGCGACAAAAUGCUCGCCUGUCACGCGGGCGGCCCGGGUUUGAUUCCCGGCCGAUGCA